CCCUAUGAAGCUUUACUGUAGCUUGGGAUUGACUUUGGGUUUACUCUGCGCAGAAUAGGUGGGAGGCUAAGAUGCUAUAUUUGAGGAUAUAGAAGAGCCAACAGUGAGAUACCACUCUGAUUAAACUAGAAUUCUAAUCUUGAUGCCGUUAACCGGCCAAGAGACAGUUCCUGGUGGGCAGUUUGACUGGGGCGGUCGCCUCCUAAAAAGUAACGGAGGCGUGCAAAGGUUUUCUCAGGCUGGUCGGAAAUCAGUCGUAGAGUGUAAAGGCAUAAGAAAGCUUGACUGUGAGACCUACAAGUCGAGCAGAGACGAAAGUCGGCCUUAGUGAUCCGACAGUUCUGAGUGGAAAGGCUGUCGCUCAACGGAUAAAAGUUACUCUAGGG
rnacentral:rRNA from 1 species